GAUAAAAUGGCUGAGUUAUUAGGCGAUAGACUGUAAAUCUAUAUACGGAUAAAUAAUCCUUUUAUCA
rnacentral:tRNA from 1 species